CCUACGGGUGGCAGCAGUAGGGAAUCUUUCACAAUGGGCGAAAGCCUGAUGGAGCAACGCCGCGUGCAGGAUGAAGGCCUUCGGGUUGUAAACUGCUUUUAUAAGCGAGAAAUAUGAUGGUAACUUAUGAAUAAGGAUCGGCUAACUACGUGCCAGCAGCCGCGGUCAUACGUAGGAUCCGAGCAUUAUCCGGAGUGACUGGGUGUAAAGAGUUGCGUAGGUGGCAUAAUAAGUAGCUAGUGAAAUCUGGUGGCUCAACCAUUCAGACUAUUAGCUAAACUGUUAAGCUCGAGACCGUUAGGUGUAACUGGAAUUUCUAGUGUAGGAGUGAAAUCCGUAGAUAUUAGAAGGAACACCAAUAGCGUAGGCAGGUUACUGGACUGUAACUGACGUUGAGGCUCGAAAGCGUGGGGAGCAAACAGGAUUAGAUACCCUGGUAGUC
rnacentral:rRNA from 1 species